rnacentral:rRNA from 1 species
AUUGAACGCUGGCGGCAUGCUUUACACAUGCAAGUCGAACGGUAACAGGGAGCUUGCUCCGCUGACGAGUGGCGAACGGGUGAGUAAUGCGUCGGAACGUGCCGAGUAGUGGGGGAUAACGCAUCGAAAGGUGUGCUAAUACCGCAUACGUACUGAGGUAGAAAGUGGGGGACCUUCGGGCCUCACGCUAUUCGAGCGGCCGACGUCUGAUUAGCUAGUUGGUGAGGUAAAGGCUCACCAAGGCGACGAUCAGUAGCGGGUCUGAGAGGAUGGUCCGCCACACUGGGACUGAGACGCGGCCCAGAAUCCUACGGGAGGCAGCAGUGGGGAAUUUUGGACAAUGGGCGCAAGCCUGAUCCAGCCAUGCCGCGUGUCUGAAGAAGGCCUUCGGGUUGUAAAGGACUUUUGUCCGGGAGCAAUGCCUGGUGUUAAUAGCAUCGGGAGCUGAGAGUACCGGAAGAAUAAGCACCGGCUAACUACGUGCCAGCCGCCGCCGUAACAC